rnacentral:rRNA from 1 species
GACGAACGCUAGCGGCGUGCUUAACACAUGCAAGUCGAACGGAAAGGCCCUGCUUUUGUGGGGUGCUCGAGUGGCGAACGGGUGAGUAACACGUGAGUAACCUGCCCUUGACUUUGGGAUAACUUCAGGAAACUGGGGCUAAUACCGGAUAGGAGCUCCUGCUGCAUGGUGGGGGUUGGAAAGUUUCGGCGGUUGGGGAUGGACUCGCGGCUUAUCAGCUUGUUGGUGGGGUAGUGGCUUACCAAGGCUUUGACGGGUAGCCGGCCUGAGAGGGUGACCGGCCACAUUGGGACUGAGAUACGGCCCAGACUCCUACGGGAGGCAGCAGUGGGGAAUAUUGCACAAUGGGCGGAAGCCUGAUGCAGCAACGCCGCGUGCGGGAUGACGGCCUUCGGGUUGUAAACCGCUUUCGCCUGUGACGAAGCGUGAGUGACGGUAAUGGGUAAAAAAGCACCGGCUAACUACGUG